rnacentral:rRNA from 1 species
AUGGAUGGAUAUACAAUCAUCUCCUCUGAUCAGGAACAACCAGUAAUUGGUGCAGAUUGGAGUUCAGGGGCACUGUCAGAUGAAUUGGAGAUACAUGCAAACUCAGCGGACCUUUCACUGCAGCUUGCUGAAGAACAAAGCCAGUUACAUGAUAUUCUGGGAAUCAAUGAAAUGCCAAUUAAUGACACAGGCAGUGCAAGUGAUUCAGACGGCAGCUCUGGGAAUGAGACAGAUAAAGAACCAGGAAAGUACUUCUAUCCUGGUUUUGACGAGUUGGUUGAUCCAAGGCCACCAGAAGUUGGAAUGAGAUUCCCAACCCUUGAAGAUGCGACCCGAUACUAUAGUGCGCAUGCUCUCCUGUCUGGUUUUGUGGCAAUCAGGGGACCAAAUUUUAUGAGAAAGAAGUUCCACGUGGAAUGCAACCGUAGCCGCAAAUUGGCGCCAUCUCAGGACCUGAAGAGGAAGAGGGAAGUAUAUUCUGUGAAUAAGGCACAGUGUGAGGCAAGGGCGGUCGUGAAGCCUGUUAAGGGGCAAUGGGAGUUCACAUCCGUUCGGAGUGAGCACAACCAUCCGUUAUGCCCAAGCCCGUCACUCACAAAAUUCUUCCUUAGCUGCAAACACAUGUCAGCUGAAGAAAAAUCGUUUUUAAGAGCUCUGCAACAAAGUAGUAUACAUCCCAAGAAAGCUAUGAAGAUCUUCAAGAGAAUGAGAGGUAUUUUGGGGAGCUUACCAUUCAACACAAAAGAUGCGAAUACGUCACAGUGUGCAGAACAACAGGGAAAACCAAACUCGGACGUAGAAACAACAGUGAAGCAUUUGAAGGAACUGGAGCUGCAAAACCCAUGUGUUUCCAUCACCAUGCAAACAGAUGAAGAUAGCAUAGUUAGGAGUCUUUUCUGGACUGAUGCGAGGUCGAGGCUUGAUUAUGAGAUCUUCGGAGAUGUCUUAUCAUUUGAUACCACCUAUAGCACAAUUAGUCACAAUAUGCUUUUCACUUCUAUUAGUGGAAUGAAUGAGCAUGGAAGAACUCUCGUGUUUGGAUACGCCUUGCUACAGGAUCGGAAAGCUGAAACCUUCAAAUGGAUGUUCCAAACAUUCUUCCAUGUAAUGGGACGGAAAAUGCCAAGAGCAAUCAUAACAGACCAGGAUGAAGCUAUAGCAAAAGCAAUUUCGGAGGUCAUGCCACAAGUAAAGCACAGGUUCUGUAAGUUCCACGUAAUGAGGAAAGCACGGGAAAUGCUUGGAGGCUUCAUAGCGGCAAGAGGUAACAUAAGUUCAGAGUUGCGUGCCCUAGUUAACAACUCUCUGACAGAAGCAGAAUUUGAGGAAGGAUGGGCUGCGCUGAUUGAGAUGUACAGUGCAAGUGAAAAUGAGUACCUGCAACUCCUAUGGGAAACAAGGAAAGAGUGGGUGCCUGUUUAUUUCAGAGAAGAUUUCUAUCCAUUUGUGGAAACGACUGGAUGUUGCGAGGGGGCAAACUCAUUAUUCAAGGACUAUGUGCUUCCUAAGGACAGAAUAGAGAAGUUCCUUGAAAGAUAUGAAGACGUACAAGAGAGGAUAAUGGAAACGGAUGAUGAAGAUAGGCUGCAAUCAAGAACUGAACCUUCAUGUUUCUCAAUGCAGCCAAUAGAAAAGCAUGCGGCACGCAUUUACACCAGGCAGAUAUUUCUGAAAGUGCAGAGGGAGCUACUCCAUUCUACAGCAUUCAACGUGCAGGAGAUACAGACGGGGACAGUGUACAGACUGGAAAAGGUGUCCGCCUACGAGAACCCAGAGUUUGACAGAAAUUCCUUCGAGCUGUUAGUCGAACCCAGCACCAAUGCAAUCAAAUGCGAAUGCGCAAAGUUCACUAGGGAUGGUAUACCAUGCUGCCACAUAUUCAGACUUUUCACACAGUUUGGGGUCAAUGAAAUACCAGGGCAAUACAUAGCGCCCAGGUGGACUGCUAAAUUUAAAGAAGAGCAGAUGAAACAGUACAGGGAGAAAUGCUUGGACAGCCGUGGCAUGGACCAAUCAGAAAAUAGUAUGAGAUAUGCAAUGCUGCUGAGUAAAGUGGCUGACAUUGGCAAAGAAAUAUGCGGCGAUGGCUCGAAAUGCGAUAAAUUCAGGCUGGAACUGGACACAAUUCAGGGGAAAACUGGAAAAGGCGGCAUCAAAAACACCUGA